UCUACGGGAGGCAGCCGUAGGGAAUCUUUCACAAUGGGCGAAAGCCUGAUGGAGCAACGCCGCGUGCAGGAUGACGGCCUUAGGGUUGUAAACUGCUUUUAUAAGCGAGAAAUAUGAUGGUAACUUAUGAAUAAGGAUCGGCUAACUACGUGCCAGCAGCCGCGGUCAUACGUAGGAUCCGAGCAUUAUCCGGAUUUAUUGGGUGUAAAGGGAGCGUAGAUGGGUUGUUAAGUCAGUUGUGCAAGUUUGCGGCUCAACCGGAAAAGUGCAAUUGAUACUGGCAGUCUUGAGUACAGUUGAGGUAGGCGGAAUUCGUGGUGUAGCGGUGAAAUGCUUAGAUAGCACGAAGAACUCCGAUUGCGAAGGCAGCUUACUAAACUGCCACUGACAUUGAUGCUCGAAAGUGUGGGUAUCAAACAGGAUUAGAUACCCCUGUAGUC
rnacentral:rRNA from 1 species